rnacentral:rRNA from 1 species
UUAUGUGAUCGUCUCUCGCAUAUCAAUAAGCGGAGGAAAAGAAACUAACAAGGAUUCCCCUAGUAACGGCGAGUGAAGCGGGAAGAGCUCAAAUUUGAAAUCUUAAAGGGUUUCCCUUUACGAAUUGUAGUUUAAAGAAGUGUUUUCUGUUGAGGUUUUGGUAAAAGUUCCUUUGGAAUAGGACAUCAUAGAGGGUGAGAAUCCCGUAUUUGACCUUUACUUUCAACUUUGUGAUACACUUUCAAAGAGUCGGAUUGUUUGGGAAUGCAGUCCAAAAUGGGUGGUAAAUUUCAUCUAAAGCUAAAUAUUGGCGAGAGACCGAUAGCGAACAAGUACCGUGAGGGAAAGAUGAAAAGAACUUUGAAAAGAGAGUUAAACAGUACGUGAAAUUGUCAAAAGGGAAGCGUUUGACACCAGUGUUGUUUUUCUGAAAAUCAAUUAAAGAACUGUUUAUGCUAAGCUGUUUAGACUUUAUCAGCUAAUCUGUUUAGUUUUGAGCUUUUCUUUAAUGCACUUUUCAGUUAACAAGUCAACAUCAAUUUCUUUUGCUGUAAAAAAGCUUGAGGAAGGUGGCUUGAGAUUCGUCUUAAGUGUUUAUAGCCUCUUGCCUAUGCAGUCGGAGAGAUUGAGGUCUGCAGCGUAGAUCCUUCGGGGCUAAAUGCAUUUGUGCUAAGUUAUAGCAUUUUAUAGACAACUUGUUGACUAUGAUUUGUCUUGUAGCUUACUCGCUUAUGUUAUUUUACCUACGCUUAGGAUGUUGAGUAGCGACAUACGCAC